rnacentral:rRNA from 1 species
UCCUACGGGAGGCAGCAGUGGGGAAUAUUGGACAAUGGGCGCAAGCCUGAUCCAGCCAUGCCGCGUGUGUGAAGAAGGUCUUCGGAUUGUAAAGCACUUUAAGUUGGGAGGAAGGGUUGUAGAUUAAUACUCUGCAGCUUUGACGUUACCGACAGAAUAAGCACCGGCUAACUCCGUGCCAGCAGCCGCGGUA